rnacentral:lncRNA from 1 species
CUAGAUCAAAACCCUAAUCCCCAUCUCGCUCAGUGCCCCCUCGAUCCCCUUCGCACCCCCCUCCUAUCUGGCUCGAUUCAAGCUUGUGAGCCCGUGCGGUGACCGCUGCCCCGCCAUCGUUGACGCGGCCGCCGACCUCUCCGGUGUGCAGGAGCACGUCCAGGAGGUCAGCCGCGGCCGGAUUCGCCCGUUCUGGGAACCAGCUCAAGCCGGGACGCCCCCUCCAUGACGCCUGCAUCGUCUUCAUCCGCCUCGGCCGUCGCAUCUCGCAUCACCAUUGCCGCUGCUCCGAGCCGUCCCCGGCCUCCCCGACCUCGCCACCGAGCUCGCUGUGAGCUCCUCCCCCAAACCCCCCUUCUUAAUUCCCGCCUCGAUUCGUUGCCGUAGCCGCCGUCUCCGAACUCGUCCGAGCUCCCGCGUACGCGUACGAAUACGUGCGUGCUUGAGCCACCGCUCCUACUGCCUUUUCACUGCUGCUCCUGCUGCACUGCUGCUCCCUGGCCGCGCCCUCGCAGCUACCCGCGCCCGCGCACGCCUGUGCUCGCCGCAGCUACCCUCUGCUGCCGCUGCUACGUGUUGUCGCUGCCCACGCUGUUGCUCUACCUGCUUGCCUCUACUUACUGCUGCUUCCUACUGCUGUUGCUCAUGCCGUUGAUGUUCUUUGCUGCUGCUGCUCGCUACCAUCGCUGACUGCUCCUGCACUGGCCUCGGUUGUGGCCUUGCCCAUGGCCGAGCGCCCAUGUGCUGUGCAUGGGUGUGCACAAGCCGUGAGGCUGGCUGUGCCUCUGGCCGGCCAUGUGCAAAGUAGUUUAGGUUAAUUACUAAUUAGGGUAGCUACUAGCCUAUGGCAGGUGGACCCCUUUUAGUUAAGUUAGAAUUUAUUUAUUUUGCUAAGGUUUAGUGUAUGCCAUUGUUAGAGUUAAUCUUGACAUGUGUGUAUGUGCAUGUGUGCAUUGCAUGUUAGUGGUCUAUUGAUGGCCGGGUCGAUGCGUCUGUUCUGUGCUGGAGUGAGUCCAGCAGUUUGUUUUGGUCAGGUCGUGGUGGCUAGAGCCAUUCUAGGAGAGGAUCAAGUCAAGUUGUUAGCUGAACUCGGCUGAGUAGUGUUUGGCCAUUGAGGAUAUGUUGUACUAGUGGUGGGCAUGGCCGUGCAUAUAGCUAGCGAUUAGUUAGUGCAUGGUGGUUAGUGAAGUUAGUGGAGCAUGGUGUGAGUGCGUGGGUCAUGGUUGAGUGCCAGACUUUGUAUAAAUUGUUAUUUGAGUCAAUGAGAAAAGGUAAGGCCGAGAGGGCCAGUGCAAAGAUGUAGCAGUUGUGGUAGCCAAGGGAGAUUAACUGGGCAAAGCUAUGUGUUCUUCCUUGGUCUAUGCGUGUGUGUGUGUUCUGUGUGUGUUUUCUCUCUGCGUCCUUGUGUUCAUGGGAGAGUUUUUAAGAGAAGCCAGAAGAGAGAGUUAUGAGAGGCAGCUCGACGUAGAAGAAGGAGCGGCGCUGCUGCGAGAGGGCGGCGCCAACAGCCAUGUGGGCCAUGCCUUCCCUUUUGACCAGUCAAAUUGACUUGGUCAAUUCGGAUUAAAUAAAUGCGGGAAUUUCAAAAUACUUUAAAACUUUAGAAAAUCAUAGAUAAUAAACCGUAAAUCGGAUGAAAAUGUUUUCUACAUGAAAGUUGUUCAGAACGACGAGACGAAUCCGAUUUCGCGGUCCGUUCAUCUGUCACAUGCCCCUAACAUGCUGAACAUGGAACCGUCCCCUCUCUUUUCAUGUGUCCGGAAAACGUCAGACGUCGGGAACAUCCCUUUGGAUGUUUUCUCUCUCCGCCUUCAACGUGUAGUAUCGCGUUAGUUCACCUCUAGCACCGCGUAUUACCAUGUUAUGCCUUAUGAUGCUUUGUUUGCUUUAUAUUUACUAGCAAAAAGGCCCGUGUGUUGCAACGGGUGAACAAAAUCCUUGCACGUACCUCGCGACACAUAGCUCAAAAAAAAAAAAGCCUACCGGCAUAUCGGUCUUGCCACUUCUCCCAUUCGUGGAUGGUGCUCAUGUAUUCCACCUAAUCAGGGUAAACACUUCUCCCAUUCGUCGAUGGUGGUCAUGUAUUAUUCCACCUAAUCACGGUAAACAUGAUCAAUUCCAGGGCGAUGAGCUUGGCCAUCAGAAAAAGUUUCAAUUUUUUCCUAAGAAUAUCAAUAGUCAUGUUGCAAAUAUGUUCGUGUGUUGCAACCGGUGAAAAACUAUUAUCCCCACAUGGCCGCAUCCUCCUACUAAAUGAACAUGUUGUGCAAGACUCAAGAAUCAGGCUAGGGUGAUGUGGUGGAGAUAUUUUUUUUAUGAGAUAAGGACAUUUAAAAGGCAACUGAGACUAAAAGGGAUAUGAUGUUAUCAUCGCCUAAGUUCAUAUUAGCAUCCACAUGUAGUCAUCUGGUCCUAUAAAGACAGCCUCCAUACACUUCAAGCAUCAGAAUCGUUUUCUCCAAGCUUGACCUCCCUCCAGCCUUUAAAGUACAUCUCCAACAAAUGAACAAAUUUAGAUUAAUUGGUCUCAUUUAUGAGCUAGCGUUGUAGCUAGUGAUGUUUAUUAAUGGACCGAUAGAGCGCAAACCGAUCCAAGACAGUCGAACAACAAAAAUGAUGAGUCAAAAAAAAUGGAAACCUUGUUUGGAAGUUAAUUAAGAUGAAAAACUAAGAACAAUCCAAUACUUGAGAAAGAAUUGUAACGCAAUUGAGGGUUCGUCUCGGAUAAAACUUUUUUUUUUUUGCGGUCAGGUAAACCCUUUUUUUACACCAUCUUAGAUAAGCCUACUCGUCGAGAGCUGCCAACAUGUGACAUGUGAUGAGGCUAACUUUAUGCGAGCUACCCUCAACAAACAAAAACCUUUAUGCAAGCUCAUAGGGAUUGAUUAUUGAACGACAGCCAGUUUUUUUUUAACGCAAUUGAGGGUUCGUCUCAGGUAAACCUUUUUUUUUUUGCGGUCAGGUAAACCUUUUUUUCACCACGGCCCUUCCAUCUUUUCCCCUCGUGGCCAUAGGCCUUUUUUCCCACCACGCUUCCCUCUCAAUCUUGCUCCUCUAACCCCCCGCUGCAGCCAAUCCUUUUGUAUUCCCUCUGCUUUCUUGAUUUCUAUGGUGGCUUGUUGAUUUUCCAAGCAACUCGUAUAUAAACUGGUGUAAUUCGGUGUAAUAAAGCAAGGUGGGACUAUUUGAAGGAUGAACGUACAAAGGACUGAUGGAGAGACAAACUAAUCUAGCAUGAUGAGUUGAUCGAGGCUGGUUGCUCUCCACCAAUCGAUAUAUAAAAAAGAGCGCGAUGCAGGCCCAGCGGGCCCAUGGAGAGACAAAAAAUAUGGUUAACUCAAAUAGAAGAAAUUGUUUCCGGACCAAUUAAAAAUACAUAUGCGAACACAGCCAAGCUAUGCUCAAAAAAAAAAAAUCACAGCCAAGCUGGUCACCAUAGCGAGCCCCCACCCAGGCGAGCAGGGAUCAAACCCCCAUUAUUUUUUUCCUGAUUUGUUUAUUUAUAUUUAUUGAUUAUCGAUUCACAGAAAGAAGCGCAUUAUGACACGGGAAGAAGCGUAUUACGGCGGUGAACCCGGAGACUCAAUUCGUGCUUUAUUAUUAGGGAGAGAUUGUUUUCUUCCCCCUCUUCUCUCCGGUAGACCUCAAGACUGAUGUUGCCCCUGUG